AAAAUGUGAUGAAACUGAUGACGAGACUGAAAGAACAUUUCUUCGACCUAAGCUGUAUUUUUCAGCGUUAUUUCGAAUCAUAAAUGUUUCUUUAAGAUGAAUCGGCAAUCUGAUC